AUGUGCUUCAGCCACACAUGUGCUAAGGUUGGAACAAUACAGAGGUUAGUGUGGCCCCAGGGAAAGGAUGGUAUGCAAAUUCCAGAAGCAUUCCAUAUUUUC